CCCAGAUCCCCAAGCUCUUCUCGUACUGCUGAGGAUGACAGCUUCGGCUCCAGGAAGAUGAGAUCUUCUUUUGGACGGGGAUUCUUCAAGAUUAAGGGAGGGAAGAGGACUGCUAGUGCCCCUAAUUUGGCUGAGACGGAGAGGGACGGCACUGACCAUCUGGAUCUGGCAGGCAUGCCGCAGAGGUCAGCUGACAGUGACAGCACACACACUCUCCCCCAUUUCUCCGGAGGAGAAA